ACACAGAAUAAUGAGAGUGUAAUUAAGUGAGGCACACUGGAAGGAUUAGUGACAGUCACACCUUCAGAAAACAAAGUCCUGGGGUGGUAGUGCAUACAUGUGAUCUCAGCACUCAGGAUGUGGCCAGGAGGACUGCAAGUUCAAGGCCAGCCUGAGCUACAUAUUUAGACUGACUCCAGCAUAUAAGGAUUGGGCUGGAGAGAUGGCUCAGUGGUUAAGAGCACUGGCUGAUCUUCCAGAGGUCCUGAGUUCAAUUCCCAGCACCCACAUGGCAGCUCACAACUGUAACUCUUGGGGAUCACACACUCACACAGACCCAACACGAAUGCACAUUCAAAAAAAAAAAAAAUCUUUUGUCCACUAGACUGUGUGGAUUUCGUUCCUCCUCAGUCAGGGCUAGAGGCCAAGAUCAGCCCUUGAGUGUCAUGGAUUAUAGUCCUCAGAACUGCCAGUGGGCAGUCCUGUGUGCCUGCCUCAGACAUUCAAAUGAGAGGGAGGCUGACUCUGUUACAAGCUCUUGCAAAGUUCCGUUUCCAGAGUGCAGGAUAUAACACUCUGGAAACGGAACUCUGCAAGAGCUUGUAACAGCCCAUAACCAACCACCUAUGAUUCCACCCCAGCCUCCCUGGGCACCCGCCUGCACUCCAACACAUGCACAUAAAUAAAAAACCUCAUUACGGUCAAUUGGCUCUUCAUCCUUGUGCCUCACUGAGCUGUACAGUGCAAGAAGCAGAGGCAGCGUUCAGGACAUCCGCUACAUUUGUAUUGUUUUUGAGACAGGCUCUCACUAUGUCAACUAGGCUUGUUUAGAAUUCAGAGAUCUACUUGCCUCUGCCUCCUGAGUGCUAGGAUCACACACAAGUCUGCCUUUUAAAAUUUUCGUUAGCAACAGAAUCUCUCAAUUUGAGGCCAGCCUGGUCUACAUAGUGAGUUCCAGAGCUGUACUGUGAACUCUGUCACCAAAAAAACUAAAAAUUUCCGGGCAGUGGUGGCGCAUGCCUUUAAUCCCAGCAUUCAGGAGGCAGAGGCAGAUGGAGCUCUGUGAGUUCAAGGCCAGCUUGGUCUACAGAAUGAGUUCCAGGACAGCCAGGGCUGUUACACAGAGAAACCCUGUCUCGAAAACAAAAAAACAAACUGUAAAAGUGUUGUUGGCCAUUCAGGCAGAUUCAGAGAAAAAGAAAUGCAUAGAUGACUUAAUACUGCCCUGCUUGCUGUGCUGCUGCCCCAGAUGGUUCCCCAGACAAUCCUCCUCCAGAGCAGCUAGGACUGGAGCCAGGGACCGCUGCCUGCUGCCUGCUCGGAGAUGAAUGUAUGUAUCACGGACCCUCUUUGAACCCUAGUGAACUAGAGGAGCUAUUUUAGGUACUAGGCUAUCUGCCUUGACCUUCAUCCUCCUGCCUCUACCUCCCCAGUGCUGGAUCAUGUGUGUGCACCACCACGUUGUUGAGAAUAAACCCCAAGGCAAGCACUCUAAAUGAGCCACCACAAAAACCCAGCCUCGGCAACAUCUUUCUUAAAGGACUAGACUAAAACUGAGUGUCAAGGGAGCUGUGGCAGAGUCACACAGAAAACUACCAAGCCCAUGUUGAGGUAUUAUUAGCAGGAAGACCUCAGAGAUCCAAUGUGAACUGCACGGAGUCUGACGGUGAAUGGGUGGACGUGGGAAGAGAACCUGAGAAGACUGAGUAGAAUGCUUGGGGGCAGGGAGGUGCUCUUCACUAUAACCUCAGCGAUUACACGGACAAACAAAAAUCACUAGAACCCUACAUCAGAAAGAAUGGAGGGAUUUGAUCACGCAAACUAAAAACCUGUGGCUCCUCAUCUAAAUAACCUUUCUUCUUCCUCGACAGAGACCUCGCUGUCUCAAAACCCACUGCUCUGUGAUCUACUUACUGUCUUGGUUUUGCUGUGUGGAGUGUAAAACCCCAGAAUAACUGUUAAAGCAGCCUGACUAUGAAAGUGUUUCAAUGUGUGAAUAAAUCAAGGAUUUCAUCAUA